UACGUAGGGUGCAGGCGUUAAUCGGAAUUACUGGGCGUAAAGCGUGCGCAGGCGGUCUCUUAAGACAGGUGUGAAAGCCCCGGGCUCAACCUGGGAAUGGCCGUUGAAACUGGCGAACUGGAGUGUGGCAGAGGGGGGUGGAAUUCCGCGUGUAGCAGUGAAAUGCGUAGAGAUGCGGAGGAACACCGAUGGCGAAGGCAGCCCCCUGGGCUGACACUGACGCUCAGGCACGAAAGCGUGGGGAGCAAACAGG
rnacentral:rRNA from 1 species